rnacentral:rRNA from 1 species
UACGAAGGUCCCGAGCGUUAUCCGGAUUUAUUGGGCGUAAAGAGCUCGUAGGCGGUUUGGCAAGUCGGGUGUGAAAACUCCGGGCUCAACUCGGAGACGCCACUCGAUACUGCUAUGACUCGAGUCCGGUAGGGGAGUGCGGAAUUCCUGGUGUAGCGGUGAAAUGCGCAGAUAUCAGGAGGAACACCGGUGGCGAAGGCGGCACUCUGGGCCGGAACUGACGCUGAGGAGCGAAAGCGUGGGGAGCGAACAGG